GCGCUGUCCCUGCCAGAAAGAUCCUUGGCGCACAGAGCACAGAAUGACUCGAGCGGGGGCUCGUGGGUUCCUUGGCGCUGUGCCCUCCUUCCAGGCGACAGCGGUGCUGCUGGACGGGGUUCGAGCCUUGGGCUGCCGGUCAGACUUUCAGGUACUCCUCUCUACCUCUCUACUUAUAAACCAACUGCAGGAAAGUGCAUGUCAGGUUGUCAGCCAUAAGCAGGGGACUCUCACUGUUAUUUGGUUAAAACAUCUAUCCUCAGUUACAGAUGCUUCUCCUGCCAGUUCGCUGAUAAAAGGUCAGUAACUAUCUGUUUGUUCUCUUAAAAUUACAUAAGAAGGGAAAGUGACACCGUGGGAAGUGGAAACUUCUCUGGUCCUAGAAUCAUAAGACCUGAUUUGAGUCGCGUCUGUGCCAUUUACAAGCUGUGU
ensembl:lncRNA novel transcript